CUGGAUUUUUAAUAUGAGUACUAUGAUAGUUCUAAAUAUUUAAAUAUUUGCGUUUUUCUGCUAUAACAGCUUGACGACACAAGAUGGAGCCACUUGAUCAGCUCCUCAACAUAUUCAACUAAUGAUGACCAUCAGCUCUGCUGUUCAGUGUUUCAGAGUUUACAUCGAUGUAGCUUCUGCUGUUACUUCUGCUAAAACAUAUAUUACUAGUACUACCUUUAGAGAGGCCGAGAACGUGACCGAGGUCAGAGGAGAGCUGGGGACCAAUGUCACUCUAACCUGCUCCAAUCAGACAGCAGACACAUACUGGUACAUGGAGAUCCACAGUCAGUUCAGAGCAUGUAUCGGCCGCAGUUUUUCUUCAGCAGGCUCUACCCUCUACUCUCCUGGUUUUGAAACCAAAUUUUCAAUCCUGGGAAACAAACUCGUGAUUAAAAACUUCACAGCAGAGGACUGCAGGCUUUACUUCUGUGGCAUCAAGAGAGGAGGCAGCAAUCAGUUUGUGGAAACUUUCCAUCUCAUUUCAGAUGUAACUCAAAAACCUGUUGCACUCACUGACAGCAACCAGCAGAGUGAGCUUGUCAUCCUGAGCUCUCUGAGCCUGAACGCGGCACUCAUUCUUGUGGUGAUCUGUCUGAGUUGUGUAUCGCUGUCUCUGAAGAGGAGAAUCAGCAAGUAUCAGGCAAACCUCCCUCCAGCUGGGACCAGUGAGAGGCUGGAGACUCCACAGAAGGAGAUCCAGCCCCCGCCUCGAUCUGCUGCUCCUCCUUCAGAGGGCAUUUACUACAAACUUCACCUGCCUUGCUUCACAUUGCCUCAAAGCUGACAAACACACCUGGACAGGUGGAUGAUACCUGCUGGAUUCACAUUUCACAACUUUUUGCCAAACCUUUUUUAAAGUGGUUCAGAACUUCAGAUGGUUAAACCAGAACCAAAACCUGCUGUAAAAACCUGUAAAUAUGUGUACACUUCACUUUGAUUCAUCACAUUAUAGUGAACACAGCGUGAACGUUACAAUGAAACAUGUUGGACAAAAAAAGGCAAAGUCUGAAAAUUUUGAGAUUUAAAAAAAAUAAAAACAAUAUAAAUUUUAAAACUACCAGAGACUAAAAAUUAAAUUUAAAAAGUCAUAAAUAGAUCAAGUAGAGUGUGAGAUGUAGUUUUUCUUUCUUUUUUUUUUUUUCAAUUCAAGACCGUCUGACAUUGGAGUGAAUUUAGAAGAUCAUUGCGUUGUGUUAACAAACACCUGAACGCUCCAGACCUGCAACCUGCCAACAACGCUGCUUUUAUAGAGCUGCUCAUACUCACUGACGAUCAGUUACUGAUGUGUACCUGGCUGCUACAAAUCCUGUUUAUUCCUAUGGAAACAGUAAGGCUGGGCUUAACAGUUGGUUUAGCUUUUGUUAAAUAAAUAAUGAGACAGUGUAAUGUGUCAUGUUGUGGUUUUGUUACUGUGUGACAAUGUGUGUGUGAAAAAACAGAAUACACUGAUUUACAUUCAGAGCUUAAACAGAACUGAAACUAGUAAAAAACAACAUGUUCACGUGAGAAAUUAC
ensembl:lncRNA